UACGAAGGGGGCUAGCGUUGCUCGGAAUCACUGGGCGUAAAGCGCACGUAGGCGGAUUGUUAAGUCAGGGGUGAAAUCCCGAGGCUCAACCUCGGAACUGCCUUUGAUACUGGGGAUCUCGAGUUCGGGAGAGGUGAGUGGAAUUGCGAGUGUAGAGGUGAAAUUCGUAGAUAUUCGCAAGAACACCAGUGGCGAAGGCGGCUCACUGGCCCGAUACUGACGCUGAGGUGCGAAAGCGUGGGGAGCAAACAGG
rnacentral:rRNA from 1 species